UGGUGCAGAGAGACGAUUCCUUGAUAAGGAC
rnacentral:piRNA from 1 species